GAAGACAGUGUAGUCGACAGAAAAGACAGUGUCAAUGUCAAUGGCGGUGAUGGUGAUCGUGGUGGUUCGGUGAAGAAAAGAGGCAGCACCACCACCACCGCCGCCGCCGCCGGAAAACCUCCAAGAGCAAAGAAACAAAAGAAGACUCCUUCUACACCAAAAGAAAACGGUAACUCUUCUUCUCAACGUCCAAAAACAAUGAAAAGAAGCAUGGAUGUGGUCAUAAACGGAAUAGACAUGGACAUAUCUGGGAUUCCGAUACCUGUGUGUUCAUGCACCGGAGCUUCACAACAAUGUUACCGGUGGGGCUCCGGUGGGUGGCAGUCCGCCUGUUGCACCACCACCAUCUCCAUGCAUCCACUUCCGAUGAGCACCAAACGCCGUGGGGCAAGGAUUGCCGGGAGGAAGAUG
rnacentral:lncRNA from 1 species